rnacentral:rRNA from 1 species
ACCUACGGGGGGCAGCAGUGAGGAAUAUUGGUCAAUGGGCGGAAGCCUGAACCAGCCAAGUCGCGUGAGGGACUAAGGCCCUGCGGGUCGUAAACCUCUUUUGCCGGGGAGCAGUGGUCCGGACGCGUCCGGACCGGGAGAGUACCCGGAGAAAAAGCAUCGGCUAACUCCGUGCCAGCAGCCGCGGUAAUACGGAGGAUGCGAGCGUUAUCCGGAUUUAUUGGGUUUAAAGGGUGCGUAGGCGGACUGGAAAGUCAGCGGUAAAAUCGAGAGGCUCAACCUCUUUCCGCCGUUGAAACUGUCGG